rnacentral:rRNA from 1 species
UACGUAGGGUGCGAGCGUUGUCCGGAAUUAUUGGGCGUAAAGAGCUCGUAGGCGGUGUGUCGCGUCGGCCGUGAAAACCUGGGGCUCAACUCUGGGCGUGCGGUCGAUACGGGCAUCACUUGAGUUUCGGCAGGGGGAGACUGGAAUUCCUGGUGUAGCGGUGGAAUGCGCAGAUAUCAGGAGGAACACCGAUGGCGAAGGCAGAUCUCUGGGCCGUAACUGACGCUGAGGAGCGGAAAGCAUGGGGAGCGAACAGG